GCUGAUCCCAAAGAUACUUAAGCUGUUUCAAAUGACAUACCACCUUGAUCUACUAAGUCUAAGCUUUGCAGCAAUGCCAAAGUUGUAGGUAAAAGAAGUCUAGUUUAGAAGAAAUCGCGUUCGGAAAUGGAUGGUGACCGGAAGAGCAAUAUCUCGCAAACAAGUGUUCCUAUGCAAGUGAAAUUAAUGCAUCAAGAAGCCUAAUGUUUCCUCUUUAUAAUUCUGUUUUCUAUUGUACAGAUAAUUUUACCAUGUUAAUGCUAUGGCACUUUUAAAGCCAUAAAAUGUAUUUUUUGUCAUUAUAAUCCCUUUUUUGAAAACAA